rnacentral:rRNA from 1 species
CACGGUAUCCUAACCGCGCGAAGGUAGCAUAAUCACUUGUUCUUUAAAUGGGGACUUGUAUCAACGGCACCACGAGGGUUAUACUGUCUCCUUUUUCAAAUCAGUGAAAUUAAUCUCCCCGUGAAGAAGCGGGGAUAUUCUUAUAAGACGAGAAGACCCCAUGGAGCUUCAAACCCAAUUACACCCCUAACUCUUAUAACCUCACAACCCCCUCUAGACACGUGUACUUGGUUUUGGGUUGGGGCGACCGCGGAGUAUAAUAAAACCUCCACAAUGAAUGGGACCACCCCCUUAUCUAAGGACCACACCCCUAAGAAUUAGAACACUAACAUAAAAUGAUCCAUUACUUGAUCAAUGAACCAAGUUACCCUGGGGAUAACAGCGCAAUCCAUUUCAAGAGCCCCUAUCGACAAAUGGGUUUACGACCUCGAUGUUGGAUCAGGGUACCCCAGUGGUGCAGCAGCUACUAAUGGUUCGUUUGUUCAACGAUUAAAACCCU